rnacentral:lncRNA from 10 species
AGUGAAGAAGUCUUUCGAAACAUAAAGAGAAGUGAAAAAUACCACAAUUACUGUGUAUACAUAAAGUGUUUUCACAUUUCCUAACUCUGGCUUAUGGAUAGGAAGGGUGAAUUCUAUUAACCUCAACUGGAAAUUUUCUGGCACAGAAAAGGUGAAUUAUUCGCCAUAAUAUUCCUAUGGAUAGGAGCAUAGCCUAGAUUAGAAUC